GGAGGAUUAGCUCAGCCGGGGAGAGCACCUUGCCUUACAAGCAGGGGGUCGGCGGUUCGAACCUGUCAUCCUCCACCA
rnacentral:tRNA from 1 species